GCCUUGUGAGAUAAUGGCUUGGGAUGCACACAAAAAAACGUUAGACGGAGGGCCGACGGCACGGAGAGUUCACGUUACACUGUCGGCGAAAUGAAAAGGUGAUUAAAAAACAAGACCAAAAUGAUAAUAGGAGCUUGAAGGAAAGUAAGCAGUGCCAAGAGGAAGAACAGCAGAAAUGGAAAGAAACAUCAAAAGUAAAAGGGAAGAAAAAACGACUGAAGAAAAGAAAGUACACUCAGCACAGUACUUCUGUGUUUAGCUGUGACUCUAAUGGAUGAAGCCACCGAGGAAGCAAUUGCUGCCAAAAGCUAUAUGUACUCGCUAAGUGGGGUUUUUUAGCAGAAGAAAGUACACGUGGUCCAGUGCUUCCAGGAUUAGCCAUGUCUCUUAACUGGAAGGAGUCACUAAUGUUGCCAUUAGACACUACUCUCCUGGUUUUCCUUUUAGCAUAGAAAGAACACCAAACCAACCUGGUUUCUAUGUUUCUCGGUCCCUUCAUACCCCAGCUGGCUGUUGUAGAUGCUGAAGAGUAUAAAGGAAUUAGACGGUCAAGUUAAAACAGGAGUUUAUUUAGCUGGAUGUAAAUACACCUUGAGAUUAUGCUUGUAGUAACUUUUUAUAUCUAAAGCUUUGUAUAAAACAAAGUGUAGGAAAGAAAAAGAACAGCACUAGCAUCAGGAGCAGGGAGGAAAGGAAGAGAGACAGAAUGAAAUCUUUCAUCUGAGUUCAGCAGAAAAAGUAGCAGAUAUAAGGAGUCCAUCUGAUCCACCUCAGUACUUGGGAACAGACAGUAAACCUGAAGGAGAGGAGAUGAACAAAUGGAAAAUGGCUGUCUGUGGUCAAGCAGAGGAAUGAAACCAGGAUCGAUCAACGACAGACGACAAUCAUGCACAAACGGGCUGAAGAUGGAACGCUGCAUGCCUGGCGGAUGAAGAACUGGAGAAAAGAAGGAGUGAAACUCCACUGCAGCGUCUAUUUGGAGGGACGCCACACCACACAAGGGCCAGCCAAAGGUUUGAAAUAACCACAGACUUCUGAAUGUUCUAUAUAUAGGCAGAGUGAUAAGAUCUGUGGAAAAGCAGCAGCCAGAGGACUGAAGCUAACAAAACGGCCUCCUGCGCUCACCAAAUUGUUUAGCAGUGUUAGAGGACAGGAGGACGCUGCCUUGUUCUGGAAACUGAGGAACAAUUUGAUUCAAAGGUUAAAAUUCUGGCUUGUGUAAAGUGGCCAGAAAAAACAAAUGUAUUAAAUAUGAAUCAAGAUUUAAAGGUAAUAAACAAAA